ACAGGCUGCUGGGAAACACCUGCUUCACCAUGGUCUCUCCAUGGGCUGCAGGGCAAUCUCUGCUCCAGCACAUGGAACAUCUCCUCCAGUUCCUUCUCCUCCCAUCAUAGUGUCCCCAAAGUGGUUUCUUCCUCUUUUUUUCCCCCCCUUGUUUCUUUCUGUCAUCUGGUGAUUUUGCCAUUUCUUAAAUAUUUUCCCUAGUGCCACUCCCACCGUGUGUGUGGGGCUCCGCCGCGCCCUGCGGAGGGCGUUUGGAUCCGGCUGGAACUGGCUGUGUCUGGCUGGGGCAGCCCCGGCCUCCCCUCACGGAGCCACCGCUGCUGCCAGGGCCUGGAUGUCUGCAAGCCAUGAAAAUGUCCCGUGCUUUUAAAAAAUGAAGCUUAAAUAUUCAUGAGGUUUUGUGUCUUAAAAAUGUCUAGGUUUUGCUUUGAUGAUGCUGAAGAACACUUGAAAACAAUUGAUGAAUGCAAAUUUGUGCAUCUUUUUCUGCAUCUAAUUAAUUAAGCACAUCCAUUUCCCUUGGGAGCCAACUGUCAGUGCUGAUAAACAAAUAAUACACCAGAUUUUUCAUGCUGUCCAGUA